UCUUACUUGGGGUAUUGUAAAGAGUUUGGCAAUAAGAAUCUAUAAGUUUCUCAUCCUUUCUUCUUAUUUCUUUUGCUAAACUUAUAUAGAUCUAUCGAUCCUAGAUCCUCGCACCCCACACUCACACACCUUAUGAUCUCGCCUCUGUAAUCAUAGUUAAUAACUCCAGUGCCAAUAUCCAUUCCAUAUUUUCAUGUGUAGCUAGAUCUGGGGGUGAUUCACCCAUAGCUUCCCCAUGGAAUUGCCAUACCGAUACCAGUAUGAAUUUGAGCCCUCCUUCGUGGAGGUAUGGUGCAAUUAUGACUUGCUGCUAAAUCAUAUCCUACAACACUCGAGGACUUUCUCUUAGGUAAAAUUGCAGAGGGAGAGAAUAAGUAUACCGGAACGUCGGGAUAAAUUUGAUCUUCAAGAAUUUCAUCUACUGGGUCAUAAAUAUAUGUGAAUACUCUUAGUGCCUGCUCCAUGAGAACCACCAAUGUAUGUAAGGACUCUUCGUCACUUUGUAUUUCUUCAUCACAGUGGUUGUAACGAGGUUGCUCUGUCAUCCUUGCUUCUCUGUAAUUGCUGAAAUUUAAUGAAAUUCACCCGCCCAUAAAGUUCCUAUUGCUUUACCUCUGUAGGUUGCAUAGGAAUAUUAAGGGCCGUUGGACGGAUUGUCCAGUUUAACUACUGGCGAAUCCGACAUUGACCCCAUGACUAGCUAAAUAGUCGACGACUCCUUGUAUUUCAUAGGCGAAUCCGACAUUAGGGAUGUUCGAUAGUCUUUCGAUAAGCCCUCUUGUGAUUAGUAGAUUUGCCUCACCAUGCCACCACUGCUCAUAUGCUCAAGUAAGGAUGGUGACUUGAAUAUUUUGAAAAAAAUCACCAACUGUUAGCAUUAGAUUGGGAAUUACAUAGACGAGUUGGCUUCGCCUGGUUAGGUCCACUUUUAUGGAUGCGAGGAUGGCUUGAUCUCCUUCCCAUCGGUUAUCACGAAAUACUAUUAAGGUCAUGGUCCCUUCUUUCCGUCGAUGUAGGGUCUGUAUUCGAACUUGCAGUACACCUAGGUGGAUAUAUUGCAUCCUGCUCCUUUGAAGUUGGAGAAAGCUUUCUUCUUGGAUGAACGUUUUGUCUGCCUGAUGGCCUUCUGUAACCAAUAUUGCUUCUUCAAAUCGGUGCAUAUAGAUCCGGUGGUGUACAUCAUCUCUUCGGGAGUGAUACAGAACCUCCACAGAGACAAUAGAGGGUCUUUCCUAUAUAGAGAGACGUAGCUGUACUUGGGGAUCUAUUUGUUGUUCAAGGGCGUGAAUUGGUACAGAUCCUCCAGUUAAUCUUUUGCCCAAUCUCCUGGUAGCUUGCUGAGCAUUAUGGAGCCUCCUUUGGUUACGUUGAUAUUCCCUAAUUUGGUCUUCAAAUAGGAGUGUUGUUGUUGUAGAUGGUUGCUCAACGCUGGUUCUUGAGAUCAUUAUGUCUUUAAUUUUUUCCUGUUCUUCCUUCAAGAUCAUGUACGGGUCUUUGAAGACUCUUAGUUUGCCUCUGGGUUCUUUUGGCCUUUCUGCUGGCCCUAAAGAAAGAUUCUUUAGUUUUUCAAUAAUAUCUUCAGGCACAAUUUUUACCUGAGUCUCGCCUUUUGCAUGAUCUCUGAUAACUUUGAGGUCUCUUUGAAUCUCCUUCAAGCUCUCAGCUAUUUGUACUAACAACUGAAUUUGGGUGUUAUUUUGUUUGAUGAUUGAUGAGUUUCCAGAGGUUGGUCCUUGAAAAUCACUAGGAUUGACGAAUUCGACAGUUGGUGCCUCAAUUUGCUCUGUUGCUUGAACAAAGUUCUGGUAUGAUGUGGUACCCUUGGUUCUCAUUUAGCUUUAAUGGCUCUUGUUCCACCAGCUUAGGGUGCUCAGCAAUUUCUGCAAUAAGGUGCUAUGACCUCUUGCUUUGUCAAAGGUCUAUUUUCUAUAUAAGUAAUGGUUAGAUUUUUCAAGCCUUGGCUUAGUCAUUGGACUUCGCUCUCAAGGGUUUGACACCUUUCUAGAAUGUUUUUGAAAUGCUUCAGGUGAACACGAGAAGAUAGACUCUAUCAUAAAUGGCGGCUAGGUUAUUUGCUAACUGGCUAUUGGUAACUUUGGAUGUGGAAGCAAGAUCAACUUAUUCAAGGCUUGCGGUUCAGGAAUUCUUAUACCAAUCCUACACAGAUUUUUUUUCCCAUAACUCAGACAUCUAACUUUAAAUUCUCUUAGUUAGGACAGUUCCUCUCCAGGUUUUACUCACACAAGUAUGCCCUCGGUCUUUCUAUGGCUCACUAGCCUUUAGGCCGAGUUAGGACUUGUUCUUUUGUAUUUCUUGAUUUACAUAAUAUCAACAAUCUUAAAGAAUUUUAAGUAGAAUACCGGACA